GUCCUUGUCGAUUAGUGGUUAAAUCAUCUCGUUGUGGUGUUCAAAUAUUUCAAACGCUCCGAGAAGCCGGAAGUUCGAAUCCUCCCUGGGACA
rnacentral:tRNA from 1 species